AUUGAACGCUGGCGGCAGGCCUAACACAUGCAAGUCGAACGAGUGGCGGACGGGUGAGUAAUGUCUGGGAAACUGCCUGAUGGAGGGGGAUAACUACUGGAAACGGUAGCUAAUACCGCAUACCAUCGAAUGUGCCCAGAUGGGAUUAGCUAGUAGGAGGGGUAAAGGCUCACCUAGGCGACGAUCCCUAGCUGGUCUGAGAGGAUGACCAGAAACACUGGAACGUAGAAACGGUCCAGACUACGAAGGGAGGCAGCAGUGGGGAAUAUUGCACAAUGGGCGCAAGCCUGAUGCAGCCAUGCCGCGUGUCUGAAGAAGGCCUUCGGGUUUGAAUGUACUUUCAGCGGGGAGGCGUUACCCGCAGAAGAAGCACCGGCUAACUCCGUGCCAGCAGCCGCGGUAAUAC
rnacentral:rRNA from 1 species